CCUACGGGGGGCAGCAGUGGGGAAUAUUGGACAAUGGGGGGAACCCUGAUCCAGCCAUGCCGCGUGUGUGAAGAGGGCCCUCGGGUUGUAAAGCACUUUCAGUGAGGAAGAACGCCUGGUGGUUAAUACCCAUCAGGAAAGACAUCACUCACAGAAGAAGCACCGGCUAACUCCGUGCCAGCAGCCGCGGUAAUACGGAGGGUGCGAGCGUUAAUCGGAAUUACUGGGCGUAAAGCGCGCGUAGGUGGCUUGAUAAGCCGGUUGUGAAAGCCCCGGGCUCAACCUGGGAACGGCAUCCGGAACUGUCAAGCUAGAGUGCAGGAGAGGAAGGUAGAAUUCCCGGUGUAGCGGUGAAAUGCGUAGAGAUCGGGAGGAAUACCAGUGGCGAAGGCGGCCUUCUGGACUGACACUGACACUGAGGUGCGAAAGCGUGGGUAGCAAACAGGAUUAGAUACCCCUGUAGUC
rnacentral:rRNA from 1 species